UGGGGAAUAUUGCACAAUGGGCGCAAGCCUGAUGCAGCCAUGCCGCGUGUGUGAAGAAGGCCUUCGGGUUGUAAAGCACUUUCAGUCGGGAGGAAGGUGGUAAGGUUAAUAACCUUGGCGAUUGACGUUACCCGCAGAAGAAGCACCGGCUAACUCCGUGCCAGCAGCCGCGGUAAUACGGAGGGUGCAAGCGUUAAUCGGAAUUACUGGGCGUAAAGCGCACGCAGGCGGUCUGUCAAGUCGGAUGUGAAAUCCCCGGGCUCAACCUGGGAACUGCAUUCGAAACUGGCAGGCUAGAGUCUUGUAGAGGGGGGUAGAAUUCCAGGUGUAGCGGUGAAAUGCGUAGAGAUCUGGAGGAAUACCGGUGGCGAAGGCGGCCCCCUGGACGAAGACUGACGCUCAGGUGCGAAAGCGUGGGGAGCAAACAGG
rnacentral:rRNA from 1 species